GGCUAAAAAUAGAACAUAACGGGUAAAAUGUAGAUUUUGGCUUAUAACUCUGAUACCAAAGCAUUUAGAGCAAAUCUGACAUGGGGUAAAUAAAGGCAACAGUAGUAUACCGCUGUUCAAACUCAUAAAUAUAUGGACAAAAAACAAAAUCGGGAUAACAAACUAAAACUGAGAGAAACGCACCAAACAUAAGAGGAGAACAACGACACAACACUACAAUGUAACACACACAGAAACGGAUAAAAUUGUUUCUCAGAUGAAGAUCUAUCUGCCCUGAAAUUUUCAGACAAAUCUGACAACCAGUUGUUGGGUUGCUGCCCCU
rnacentral:lncRNA from 1 species